rnacentral:tRNA from 1 species
ACUCUUUUAGUUUAUUAAAAAUAUGACUUUGAAGCAGUUAAGAAUCUUAGAGUA